GAAAGAGAAGGGAUGGAAGUGAAAUGUUACAAGCGUUUAUGAAGAAAGAAGUAAUAGACGUAUUCAUUAUCUUGAUUUUGGAGAUGGAUAUAUACGUGUGACAAAACUUAUCAAAUUGUAUACCUAAACAGUGCAUUUUGUGUAACCAUCAACCAAUUUUGUCCUAAGCAACUUGGAGUGCUUCCCCACCGUUCUGAGGGCUGCCAUCACACUUUCUCCAACAAGAUUUGAGUUCCAGCUUGGGGAAGAGGACCCCUUCUUUUGGAAAUCCUCCUUAGCUCUCAGAUUUUUUUAGAGUUCUAUUUUUUCUUGAGAGUUACACCUCUGUUAUAGCUAGUAAUUCUUUAUAUUAAACUUUCCCUGUUCA
rnacentral:lncRNA from 1 species